AGACCCGAAACCCGGUGAUCUAGCCAUGGGCAGGUUGAAGGUUGGGUAACACUAACUGGAGGACCGAACCGACUAAUGUUGAAAAAUUAGCGGAUGACCUGUGGCUGGGGGUGAAAGGCCAAUCAAACCGGGAGAUAGCUGGUUCUCCCCGAAAGCUAUUUAGGUAGCGCCUCGUGAAUUCAUCUCCGGGGGUAGAGCACUGUUUCGGCUAGGGGGCCAUCCCGGCUUACCAACCCGAUGCAAACUGCGAAUACCGGAGAAUGUUAUCACGGGAGACACACGGCGGGUGCUAACGUCCGUCGUGAAGAGGGAAACAACCCAGACCGCCAGCUAAGGUCCCAAAGUCAUGGUUAAGUGGGAAACGAUGUGGGAAGGCCCAGACAGCCAGGAUGUUGGCUUAGAAGCAGCCAUCAUUUAAAGAAAGCGUAAUAGCUCACUGGUCGAGUCGGCCUGCGCGGAAGAUGUAACGGGGCUAAACCAUGCACCGAAGCUGCGGCAGCGAACGUAUCACCCAAGACAACUUUACGGAGUUGACGAUUGACGGAGCGAAGCGACGUCAAAGCGUUCAUUAAAGUCGAGUUGGCUUAGGGAUACGUUCGUUGGGUAGGGGAGCGUUCUGUAAGCCUGUGAAGGUGUGUCGUGAGGCAUGCUGGAGGUAUCAGAAGUGCGAAUGCUGACAUAAGUAACGAUAAAGCGGGUGAAAAGCCCGCUCGCCGGAAGACCAAGGGUUCCUGUCUAACGUUAAUCGGGGCAGGGUGAGUCGACCCCUAAGGCGAGGCCGAAAGGCGUAGUCGAUGGGAAACGGGUUAAUAUUCCCGUACUUGGUGUUACUGCGAAGGGGGGACGGAGAAGGCUAUGUUGGCCGGGCGACGGUUGUCCCGGUUUAAGCGUGUAGGUGUGUGUUCCAGGUAAAUCCGGUUCACUUUAACACUGAGGCGUGACGACGAGGCACUACGGUGCUGAAGCAACAAAUGCCCUGCUUCCAGGAAAAGCCUCUAAGCAUCAGGUAACACGAAAUCGUACCCCAAACCGACACAGGUGGUCAGGUAGAGAAUACCAAGGCGCUUGAGAGAACUCGGGUGAAGGAACUAGGCAAAAUGGUGCCGUAACUUCGGGAGAAGGCACGCUGACACGUAGGUGAAGUGAUUUACUCAUGGAGCUGAAGUCAGUCGAAGAUACCAGCUGGCUGCAACUGUUUAUUAAAAACACAGCACUGUGCAAACACGAAAGUGGACGUAUACGGUGUGACGCCUGCCCGGUGCCGGAA
rnacentral:rRNA from 1 species